rnacentral:rRNA from 1 species
GACAGAGGUGCCAAGCGUUAGGCGGAAUCACUGGGCUUAAAGCGUGUGUAGGCGGAUCGUUAAGUACCUUGUGAAAUCCCACGGCUCAACCGUGGAACUGCUCGGUAUACUGGCGGUCUUGAGCCACCUAGGGGCAACUGGAACGAGCGGUGGAGCGGUGAAAUGCGUAGAUAUCGCUUGGAACGCCAACGGUGAAAACAGGUUGCUGGGGGUGUGCUGACGCUGAGACACGAAUGCCAGGGGAGCGAACGGG